CACGUAGGGCGCAAGCGUUGUCCGGAAUUAUUGGGCGUAAAGAGCUCGUAGGCGGUUUGUCGCGUCUGCUGUGAAAACCCGAGGCUCAACCUCGGGCCUGCAGUGGGUACGGGCAGACUAGAGUGCGGUAGGGGAGACUGGAAUUCCUGGUGUAGCGGUGAAAUGCGCAGAUAUCAGGAGGAACACCGGUGGCGAAGGCGGGUCUCUGGGCCGUAACUGGACGCUGGAGGAGCGAAAGCCGUGGGGAGCGAACAGG
rnacentral:rRNA from 1 species